rnacentral:sRNA from 1 species
CUCUUCCGCCGUCGUCGCCGCCAUAGUCGGCGCGACUCGCUUCUUUCGGUUCUACCUGGGAGAAUCCACCGCCAUCCGCCACCAUGGUGAACUUCACGGUAGACCAGAUCCGCGCCAUUAUGGACAAGAAGGCCAACAUCCGCAACAUGUCUGUCAUCGCCCACGUGGACCAUGGCAAGUCCACGCUGACAGACUCCCUGGUGUGCAAGGCGGGCAUCAUCGCCUCGGCCCGGGCCGGGGAGACACGCUUCACUGAUACCCGGAAGGACGAGCAGGAGCGUUGCAUCACCAUCAAGUCAACGUGAGCUCCCUGUGCCCUCUGUACCCAGGCAGGGAGGUGCUGGCCUGGCAGCUGGAGGCCACUGGGCCAGGGUGCGCGGGGAGAGACUUGGCAACGUCUCUUUCUCCUGGUUUCUUAAUUCAUGGGAGAAUGAGUGAGGUUCAGUCCAGGGAGAUAGGAUGGAGAGGCACAGGGAUUGGGGGUACUGCGAGCUGGAAGGUUUUCUUGAGGAGGGGGCUUCACUCAGUGGUUCUCCCUCCCUGGGGGACUUGCCCCCACUCCUACAAUAUCUGGAGAGGU